rnacentral:lncRNA from 1 species
UGGUCUCAAAGUGAACUGGUCUCUAAGUGAACUGGUCUCUCAGUGAAUUGGUCUCUCGGUGAACUGGUCUCUCGGUGAACUGGUCUCUCAGUGAACUGGUCUCUAAGUGAACUGGUCUCUCAGUGAACUGGUCUCUCAGUGAACUGGUCUCAAACUGAACUGGUCUCAAACUGAACUGGUCUCAAAGUGAACUGGUCUCAAAGUGAACUGGUCUCAAAGUGAACUGGUCUCUCAGUGAACUGGUCUCAAAGUGAACUGGUCUCUCAGUGAACGGGUCUCUCAGUGAACUGGUCUCAAAGUGAACUGGUCUCUCAGUGAACUGGUUUCUCAGUGAACGGGUCUCUCAGUGAACGGUCUCAAAGUGAACUGGUCUCAAAGUGAACUGGUCUCAAAAUAAUACAUCAUCUCAUAAUCCUUUUAUCUUAUUCAUGUUAUUGGUGAUUGGUGAUUGGUGAUUGUUGUAGCCUAGUGGCCUUCACGUCAAAAGAAGAUACCCAAUAGGCUGUCUCCUCGUCAUAAUUCCUCCAAAGCUUAUAUCCACAACCUAUCACCUAAACAACAGAAAUAGAACAUGCAUUGGUUAUGUUUUACGAUGCAUUAUAACCUGCAAGCUUUAAGGGUUAAAGUUACUGAUGUGUUAAACUCUGAAACAUUCUCCAAACUGCAGUAACUCUGUAGCCUGUCAAGAGAAAUCUCUUACCACUGAAGGGUUGCGUUGACACACAUCCUCUAUGGAUAAAGGCUCAGGAGUCUUGCUACAUAUUUCUGUGUUUCUGAAGAAGAACAACAUGACAAUAACCAUAUGAGAUAGAAUGACAGCUCCCGGCAGAUCUGGGACCAGUGAUAGAUUAGUGGAGGUAGGCUAAACUACCUACCCAGCAGAGGGUGUGGUCCUCAGCCCAAGCCCUUCCAGGCCCAGGCUAGGGACCUCUGAAUCCUCUGGGUUGAUCCUAUCCCAUUCCUGGUAGGACAGAGGAGGAGGAGGGAGAGGAAGGAGAGGAGGAAGGUUCCCAGCACACCUCUUCUUCUCUUCGUUAGAGUGAACACUCGGAAAUACAUACUGCGUCUAUGGUAGGAUGCCAAGGAG